rnacentral:rRNA from 1 species
CCUAACACAUGCAAGUCGAACGGUAGCACAGAGAGCUUGCUCUCGGGUGACGAGUGGCGGACGGGUGAGUAAUGUCUGGGAAACUGCCUGAUGGAGGGGGAUAACUACUGGAAACGGUAGCUAAUACCGCAUAAUGUCGCAAGACCAAAGAGGGGGACCUUCGGGCCUCUUGCCAUCAGAUGUGCCCAGAUGGGAUUAGCUAGUAGGUGGGGUAACGGCUCACCUAGGCGACGAUCCCUAGCUGGUCUGAGAGGAUGACCAGCCACACU